rnacentral:rRNA from 2 species
GUAACACGUGGGUAACCUGCCCUUAAGUGGGGGAUAACAUUUGGAAACAGAUGCUAAUACCGCAUAAAUCCAAGAACCGCAUGGUUCUUGGCUGAAAGAUGGCGUAAGCUAUCGCUUUUGGAUGGACCCGCGGCGUAUUAGCUAGUUGGUGAGGUAACGGCUCACCAAGGCAAUGAUACGUAGCCGAACUGAGAGGUUGAUCGGCCACAUUGGGACUGAGACACGGCCCAAACUCCUACGGGAGGCAGCAGUAGGGAAUCUUCCACAAUGGACGCAAGUCUGAUGGAGCAACGCCGCGUGAGUGAAGAAGGCUUUCGGGUCGUAAAACUCUGUUGUUGGAGAAGAAUGGUCGGCAGAGUAACUGUUGUCGGCGUGACGGUAUCCAACCAGAAAGCCACGGCUAACUACGUGCCAGCAGCCGCGGUAAUACGUAGGUGGCAAGCGUUAUCCGGAUUUAUUGGGCGUAAAGCGAGCGCAGGCGGUUUUUUAAGUCUGAUGUGAAAGCCCUCGGCUUAACCGAGGAAGUGCAUCGGAAACUGGGAAACUUGAGUGCAGAAGAGGACAGUGGAACUCCAUGUGUAGCGGUGAAAUGCGUAGAUAUAUGGAAGAACACCAGUGGCGAAGGCGGCUGUCUGGUCUGUAACUGACGCUGAGGCUCGAAAGCAUGGGUAGCGAACAGGAUUAGAUACCCUGGUAGUCCAUGCCGUAAACGAUGAAUGCUAGGUGUUGGAGGGUUUCCGCCCUUCAGUGCCGCAGCUAACGCAUUAAGCAUUCCGCCUGGGGAGUACGACCGCAAGGUUGAAACUCAAAGGAAUUGACGGGGGCCCGCACAAGCGGUGGAGCAUGUGGUUUAAUUCGAAGCAACGCGAAGAACCUUACCAGGUCUUGACAUCUUUUGAUCACCUGAGAGAUCAGGUUUCCCCUUCGGGGGCAAAAUGACAGGUGGUGCAUGGUUGUCGUCAGCUCGUGUCGUGAGAUGUUGGGUUAAGUCCCGCAACGAGCGCAACCCUUAUGACUAGUUGCCAGCAUUUAGUUGGGCACUCUAGUAAGACUGCCGGUGACAAACCGGAGGAAGGUGGGGAUGACGUCAAAUCAUCAUGCCCCUUAUGACCUGGGCUACACACGUGCUACAAUGGAUGGUACAACGAGUUGCGAGACCGCGAGGUCAAGCUAAUCUCUUAAAGCCAUUCUCAGUUCGGACUGUAGGCUGCAACUCGCCUACACGAAGUCGGAAUCGCUAGUAAUCGCGGAUCAGCACGCCGCGGUGAAUACGUUCCCGGGCCUUGUACACACCGCCCGUCACACCAUGAGAGUUUGUAACACCCGAAGCCGGUGGC